GCCCAGGAGGCACACUGGGACACCCCAGCUGUGAGCUUCCGUCCAGAGGCAAGAUGGUCCAUCACAGGAAGUCGGGGCCCCACGCCCUAAGAUUGGGGCUAUGGGUGUUGCUGGGGUGCAGAUGUGGGACAAAGGUGACUGUAGGAAGAUCAUGUCUGGACCAACCACUAGGAUUUGGCUCCUUCAUUUCCAACGUGGAAGAAACUUACAGAUGAUCUUAAUGUCACAAACAAAUUGGCUACUUGUCCUUUCAAUGCUCGCCACCAGGUUCCUUGACCGAAAUCAGUCAUCGUAUCUCAAGCUGUGAUGACAAACUUGUAUUGAUCAGGAUGUUGUCCACUAACCCAGGAAACCUGGAUAAGGGCUCUGGCUGAGAGCACAUGGCAGUGCCCUCCUUGGAUGAAGUCUGGCAUAAAGAUUUGUGGAAACAGACCAGCACACCAUGUCUAGGGCUCAGCCAAUUACUGUGGCAAGAACAGCCCUGCCAGCAACAUACUUAUGGAACAUUAGAGUAAUGCAUGUGCCUUCCCAAGUCUCUGUCCUAUGUUCUGUCAUGGAAAAACAGUGGAAAUGUACAGUAACUGAAUAUCUGUCUCAUGAGAUGCUAGACCCUAGAAGACCCUUGCUGCUUCUUGCUACCAGUGGUGGAGCAGAUCUGGUGAUGAUAUAAAUGGCAACCCCUGGAGCUCUGCAAUGCAACAGUCCUUGCGAGCCAACAACACCAACAAGGCGGUCCAGUGUUCAGAUAACAUGGCAAAGGAGAGCAGGAGCUUUCGAACAUGUUUGACCAUAACCCUCCCAGGAAGAUGCAUAUUUUAUAUCACAAUCAAGCUUCACAAAAUCAUGCUUCACCUCACCAAGUGUGACAUACUCCAAGAUAUCCUACACUCUACUGUAUUUUUUUAAAAUGUUGGUGGCUACUGGUACAAUUAACUUCAUAAUCUCCUACGGGGUCUCAGCUCCUGAUUGCUGGACUGGGAGCCAAGAGAUCUGAGCUUCAGUCUUAGUUCCCACUCAUAGCAAGAGUUUAUCCUUAGGAGAAUCUCCUCAUUUGAGUAUUUGCUUCUGGAAAUGGAGAUCCUGAUUGUUUCAGAGUGACUUUACAGGAGAAACAUGAAAUAAUUCUGUUCCCCAGUGUGGGGUAGUCAAUAUUGCUGGUACCUGGCAUAGUUUCAGGUAGUGCACAGGCAUACAUUGUAGGCACUCAUUUCAAUUCUUUAUGAAAAUAUACAGUUUAUAUCAAAUGUAUAAUGUUGGCAGUGAUAUAAAGCUUCCUUUUAAAAUACAUUUACUUAAAAUAAU
rnacentral:lncRNA from 1 species